rnacentral:rRNA from 1 species
UGGGGAAUCUUGCGCAAUGGGCGAAAGCCUGACGCAGCAACGCCGCGUGAGGGACGAAGGCUUUCUGAGUUGUAAACCUCUUUCAGCAGGGACGAUUAUGACGGUACCUGCAGAAGAAGCCCCGGCCAACUACGUGCCAGCAGCCGCGGUGAUACGUAGGGGGCAAGCGUUGUCCGGAAUUAUUGGGCGUAAAGAGCUCGUAGGCGGCUUGGCAAGUCGAAUGUGAAACCUCCAGGCUCAACCUGGAGCCGCCAUUCGAUACUGCCAUGGCUAGAGUCCGGUAGGGGACCAUGGAAUUCCUGGUGUAGCGGUGAAAUGCGCAGAUAUCAGGAGGAACACCGGCGGCGAAGGCGGUGGUCUGGGCCGGCACUGACGCUGAGGAGCGAAAGCGUGGGUAGCGAACAGGAUUAGAUACCCCCGUAGUCC